UUUAAUGGCUGCAGUAAUUUGACUGUACAAAGGUAGCAUAAUCAUUAGUUUUUUAAUUGAAAGCUUGUAUGAAAGGUUAGACGAAAAAAAAUCUGUCUUUAUUUAAUUUAAUUAGAAUUUAAUUUUUAAGUGAAAAAGCUUAAAUAUUUAUAAAAGACGAGAAGACCCUAUAGAAUUUUAUAAUUAAUUAAAUAAAUUUAAUUAAUAUUUAUUAAUUUUAUAUUUAAUUAAUUAUUUUAUUGGGGUAAUAUAAAGAUUAAAUUAAUUCUUUUUUAUUUAUUAUAUUUAUAUAUAUUUAUUUGAUCCAUUAUUAAUGAUUAUAAGAAUAAAUUACCUUAGGGAUAACAGCGUAAUUUUUUUAGAGAGUUCAUAUUAAUAAAAAAGUUUGCGACCUCGAUGUUGGAUUAAAGAUUAUUUUAGGUGCAAAAGUUUAAAAAAUUGGUCUGUUCGACCAUUAAAUCUUUACAUGAUCUGAGUUCAGACCGGUGUGAGCCAGGUCGGUUUCUAUCUUUAUUAAUUUAUAAUAUUUUAGUACGAAAGGACCAAAUAUUGAUUAUAUUAAUUAUUUUAAUUGAAUAUUAUUAAUUAUUUUGGCAGAUUAGUGCAAUAAAUUUAGAAUUUAUAUAUAUAAAGUAAUUUAUAGAUAAUACUUGUUUUAUAUUGAUAUUAUAUUUUUAAUUAUUAGAGUAUUAUUAUUAUUAAUUUUUGUAUUAGUAGGAGUAGCUUUUUUAACAUUAAUAGAACGUAA
rnacentral:rRNA from 1 species